GCUCUGGCUCCCUCCCACCUCAUCUCCACCUACUCUUCCUCAAAGGGAAAGUGGGCUCCUCCCCACCUCACUGCCUUCUUGGAAACUGGAAGCUUGGAUUGCCCCUCCACCCAUCCCCCGGAAGGAGAGGAAGGCGUGUGGAGGGACUUAGCCCAGGCUCACACAACAUGCAAUCAUCGGCCCGGGACUUCUAUCCAGAAAUGUACUAUGCCCUUCCGCCCUCUGCAUUCACGUAGACUCUGCCUGUGGAACAAAUGGUUGAUCUACAACAAUAUUGAGGAACAACAAGCACUUGAAGAAGAAAACAGUGCCAGGAACCACCUGUUACUUUGCAUGGAAAAGAGCUCAUGAGUUCUUAGAAUGUGGGCUUCCAUUGCAAUUACCUUCUGCAUGCCAGCCUGACUCUGACAUCAUGACUCCCGCAGCCUGACUCCCGAAGCCUGACUCCUGCAGCCUGGGUUCUGUAUCUUCCUCUUAAUGGAGAUUCUCAGCCUUUCAAGAAUUCUGCCUGCAGCCUCUUUAACCCAUUACUGCCAUUUGGUAACCUGCACAUCUAUGAAGAUAUAUUUACUGCGUAAUGUCUUACUAAAAAGUUAAUAUUGGUAAUGUAGGAUUGAAAUAAAAUAAA
rnacentral:lncRNA from 1 species